ACUGUUGCAAAUGAAGUUGCAUAAGUUGUAAAUGAAAUUUCUGAUUUGCAACUGUUGCAAAUGCUGUUGCAAACGAAGUUGCAAGUCGUUGCAACUGUGUCAAAUGUUGUUGCAAAUGAGGUUGCAGAAGUUGCAAGUCGUAUUUUUGUAAAUAAUUUAUUAAAAAUAGUAUUUUCAAAAAUAAUGAAAGUUAUUUUUGUAAAAAAUUUUAAGAGGUUAGGCGGUUAUGAAAAAAGCCCUCAUAACUUUAACAAAAAUAAAAAAGAUUUUCUGUCCAAAAAAAAAAGAUAUCGACAAGUUCUCUGAUUCAUGGUCUAUAAACCCUAAUGUAGAUUCUUCGUCUACUUAUGUAUUCAAUUCAAUUACGAAAAGAGAGAUCAUCACCAAGAUACAUUAGCCUCAAUGAACUUGAAGCUUGAACUGCAUAGGAAAUGGCAACAAUGGAACAGCUGCCGUACGAGCUACUAUAUUAUAUUAUACUUUUGUUGGUGCAGUCACCAGGCGGAGCGG